CCUACGGUAGGCAGCAGUGGGGAAUAUUGCACAAUGGGGGAAACCCUGAUGCAGCGACGCCGCGUGAGUGAAGAAGGGUUUAGGCUCGUAAACUUCUAUCAACAGGGACGAAAGAAAUGAAGGUAACUGAAUAAGACGCCCCGGCUAACUACGUGCCAGCAGCCGCGGUAAUAAGUAGGGGGCAAGCGUUAUCCGGAUUUACUGGGUGUAAAGGGAGCGUAGACGGCAGUGCAAGUCUGUAGUGAAAGGCGGGGGCUCAACCCCCGGACCGCUCUGGAAACUGUACGGCUUGAGUGCAGUAGAGGUAAGUGGAAUGCCUAGUGUAGCGGUGAAAUGCGUAGAGAUUAGGAGGAACACCAGUGGCGAAGGCGGCUUACUGGACUGUAACUGACGUUGAGGCUCGAAAGCGUGGGGAGCAAACAGGAUUAGAUACCCGAGUAGUC
rnacentral:rRNA from 1 species